rnacentral:lncRNA from 1 species
GUUUGGAGGGGCACUGCGGUAACCAUAUUUUUAUUAUUUGGGGGGAGGCGAGGGAAUACUGAAUUUGAAAUCCCGCUUUCAAGUUCCUAGGCGCGAAAUGAAAAUUUGGUAAGCUGCACUUGCUACGGGGUCACUAACAAGAUUGUGCACUCUUAUCAGACCCAUUUGUCAGUGAAGCUGGGUGCGUUUCAUCUUGCAUACAAAAUAGGUGGGAGAUGAAUAUCUGGAAGAGGCCCAGGCUUUAGUGAACCUAGGUGCAUUUCCAGUCGCUGACGACAAAGGGAAACAACUACUUUCUCCAACUAUAAAGCCUACAUGUCUAUUUUUUUUAACUCAUGUGGAGGUUAGGAUUUUCCUUCUUUUUAUCCUGACCAAAGUGCAUUCAUGUAUCCAUUGAAUAUUUCGCAUGCCUACCCAUGAAUGAAAGGCUGCAUAUUCCACCCUAUACUUGUGGUAGGA